rnacentral:rRNA from 1 species
UACGGGGGGGGGGCAAGCGUUGUUCGGAAUUACUGGGCGUAAAGGGCUCGUAGGCGGCCAACUAAGUCGGACGUGAAAUCCCUCGGCUUAACCGGGGAACUGCGUCCGAUACUGGAUGGCUUGAGUUUGGGGAGAGGGAUGCGGAAUUCCCAGGUGUAGCGGUGAAAUGCGUAGAUAUCAGGGAGGAACACCUGUGGUGUAGACGGCUUUCUGGACCAUAGCUGACGCUGAGACACGAAAGCGUGGGUAGCAAACAGG